UGUCCUCUCUGUGGAGCUUCCUGGAAGCAGCUAGUGUGUUUGUCUAUUUCUUGCAUGUUCCCAUAGCCCUCAGCUCCUUUAGCCCACAUCACCCACUCCCUCUCCCUUGCUAUUGCUGUGCUCCCAGCUGAGCACCCUGCUCCCUGUGUACUGUAGUGGGACAUGGUGUCAGAGAAGGGGCAGCAGGAUGAAUGCAAAAGAGAACAGCACUGUGACUGAUGGCCCUUUGUUUCCUCAAUAAAUUGGGUCUGGGGUGCCUGGCUGGGGAGCAUGUGUGAGUCUGAAAGAGGAAUAACUAGCAAUAAACAUCCUGUGCUGCUCUCUGUCCCCUGAGAAAGAGGUUCCCUCAGAGGGUGGACAGAAUCAUUGUGAUAGUGCGAGUACCCACAACUAUAAGCCUAUGUUAAGUCUGUCAGUCAGUCUUUGAUGUAGCCCAGUAAGACUGAUGAUAAUCUACAGUGAGCAAAAACAGACAGGGAAGAGAAGCGGUAACGGUAACAACAGAAUUUGAUCUGACUCUGCAAAAUAAUACUGGCACAGAUGAUGGAGAUUUUUUCCAAGUAAAAUUAUAGAAAAUAUGGUUUGGAUCUCAGGAGUGAGGAACCCUGCAACUCUUACAGGUUCAUGUGAGGUUUUAUUGCCCUAUUCUGAGACCACUUUUAAAUUUUUAUGCUAUCUUUCAUUGCAUGAAGACCUGCUUCAUGUCUGCUCUACAAAAACUGCCAUUCUUUUAUGUUUCUGUGAUGGCAGCUAGCAACAUGAACUGCAUAUGUAGCUAAAGUCUCCUUAAACAUGAAGUAUAUUUAUCAUUUUUCUUACGAGAUGCCAAUUCUAUUACGUUGAACCCUGGAAUAAGAUUUUUUCCCUGGUAUUGAUUAACAUUGAACUUCCAAGUUAAUGGUAUAUGUUCAUUAAAUUCAUUGUAACUUCAGUUCUGAAAAGCGUUCAAAGAGGGCGCUGGUAUGAAGCGAUUUGAGCCGCUGGCUCCGGCAGCAGGAAAAUGUUCACCAGGUGGCACUCAUGGACCGCGCAAAAACCCUUGUCCUUCUGCAUCUACCCGAAAUGGGAGAUGGUCGCUUAGAAGCCGAGGUGAUCUGGUUUAACUGCUCAAGCACAAGUACCUUUCCAGGGCAACACAGUUAGUGUUUGGAAUAAAACAACCCGCAUUUAUCCUCCUCGCUAUCGGUAUUUGCAACAUAAAAUAUGCCCACAACUCUUGUCUACGUUCUUAACAGCUAUGCUAAUCACUUCAUCCUGCAUUAUGAUACAUAGACUGUAACAAAGUGAAGCUAUACCUUCUUUAUGUCUUCCCCACUAGUAAACCAUGGAGUGGAAAAAGAAUUAGAGUGGAAAAUUAGCAUGGAAGUGUGUUUCAGAGGCAUCCAGCUUGCUCAACCAACUUCCCCCUAUCCUUGAGAAAAACAAACAAACAAAAAGCACAAAACAACACAAAACAAAACAACACAAACCUCCCAAGUCUGGGAUGAGUGUUACACCUCUGACUUGUUUUAAGAAAUACAUUCCGGAAAUGAAAAGUUAAUGGAGCCAGGUUUUUCCCAGUUGACACAUAAUCCUUCAUCAUUCACAGUCUUUCUUAAUCCAAUUCACACCACAUCCACAGCCUGGAAUUUUUUUUAUUAUUUUUUUUUGUCCUGCAGUACAAAUAAGUUGUUGGAUACACACAGGCAAUUUUAUGUACUGUUUUGUUAACGUUAUUAAAGGUUUUAGAAGGAGUAUAGUCCCAACAUACAUUCUGCUAUGUCAGAGUUUUCUAGGCUUUCUCACAGUCUGUUGGUGGCCUAAAUAAUAUCUUUAAAAAAAAAAAAGAAAGACUUUGACUGGUGGAAUUAAAUGUGCACUAAUGUGUACCUUCAAAUGUGUACUAAGGCUUUUCAUCAAUGAUUUGUUCAACUAACCCCAUUGACUACAGUUUGUAGUAGUUAAUAUUUCCAGGUUAUUUCACUGCUACGUUUGAGAAAAUAUUUCCUAGGCAGUAAAAAUAUUAUUAUCUUUAUAUUACAGUCUCUCGGGCACAAAUUUUGAACCAGUAGAAGCCUUCUGCUUCUUCACCUUUGGUUUCCUGCCAUGACAGGACAGUGGGGCCAGCAGCAGCACGAUGCUUGGUCCUGCCUGUCUGGGUGGAGGCAACAUCUUGGCUCUGCAGUAGCAGUGUCAAGGACACACCUACACAUGUCCCAGCUGUUGGUCUCUACCAUUGAGCAUAUUUCCUGCCAGGUGUUAACACUGACUGCCAGUCGGAUCAGCCCAUGGUGGUACCAUGGUACACCUGUCCGUUAGUUUCAGGUACUGUUGUAUCAUCCCUUUACCUCUGCUUAUCAUGUCCUGUUCUUGUCUGUAUUGUUGAGUUUGUCAUGGCUAUGCUCAGCUCUGUUGCCAUCACUCUCCAUUCAUGACCAAAGAAGGACCAUGAUGCUUCCCUGUCACCACGCCAAUGAAGCAGAAUAGGUCUGAAGCAGUAAGUCACAUCAUAUCUGAGGUUGGAGAACAUGUUCUAACAUUGAAGUACUUUAGGUACAUCAAUAACAUUUAGGGUUUUUUAAAUGUACUUUUUCUGUGCUGUAGUAUGGCCUACUAUGUAUAUGGAAAAGAGCAGAAGAUGCACUUCCUUAGAGGUGUGUUUGCUUAGGUGUGCAUUUAGCAGGGAGCCUUUUUUGCAAGAGAGAAAGAGUGAAGGUGAGCUUACCUGUUCACACUACAAUGUUAUCUAGCUUGGGAAGACAGAGUAAGCAACAAUGCAGCAAUGAAAAAAAAAAUUUAAAAAAUCAGUCUUAAUAUGAAUGCAAAACUUAAAUCAUAGCUAAUGUUAUUCCUUUUCCUUUUGCCUUCUUUCUUCCAUUUUUUUGAGCAGGCAACAUAUAAAUGCUUUUGCUGAACGUAUCACUUGGCUCUUCAGCUCCACUCCUGAAUUCUCUCUCACAACAUAUUUGCAUUCUUGGCCAAUGCUUGUGAUAUUAAAACUCAACAGUCAUAAAGAUCUCAUUCAACAGACUGGAAAUCCAGCUUCUUUGGCUAGCCACAGUUGUUCUCUAACCUGUCUCCCACACUUCCGUACAUUCUUGAGCAGACCUGUUUUCUUCAAGCAAAAGUGAAGAAAUGAAGGUACAGGAAUCGCUGUAGGCAUGGCAGUAAAAUAAUCACAAAGCUGGCAACAAUUUAGAAAAGCUUUAAUAAGGGAAUUAUUCAUCAUCACAAUGAUUCAUGCUCACCAGUUUUCCAGAGGAGAUGGUCACAGCAUUUUUUUCCACUGGGAGGAGGGAGACAAGGGGAAGACAGGCAAAGCUGAUUCCCAAGGCUUGGCUCCACGCUCAAGAGAAAUGGAUAUGAAUUUUCUCAUCUUUCAAUAUUUUCUCAGCUCCUGGAUGUGUGGGAGGAAAAGGAAGUUAUUCAGAAUCAAUUAUAACUUUCCACUACAUUGCUGAAUUUUGGAUUAUUGUUUGCCUUAUGUCUACAGCCCAUUGUCUCUUGUAUGAACUGAUUCCUACCUCCCCGUUCUGUUAUCUCUUAAUCACAACAGUGUGAAAAUAGUUUCAAGGCAACUGAAAUUACCUUCAAAGAGACUACUCAGUAUGCUUUUCAGACCUGAUUAAUAAUCCCUUUAAAUGCAUAAAAAGAUUUUCAAAUAUUAAAGUGGACUUGGGUUUGGGCCUAUGGUAUCAAAACAGUAUUUGGCAAAUCUCUGGGUAUUAAACUCCGAUAUCCAUUGAGGAGUCAUAAGAUAUGACUGAUAAGAACCAGCCUUACUCAGAAAAUUUAGGAAACAGCAAAUGACAACUGUGACUCUACUUGGGAAGAAGAAAAAUACCCACAUCAUUUUUAAAAUCCCAGUUUGAAUUUGGUAUACUUUCUUGGGGAUGCUCCAGAAACAAUGUCCUGAUGGUUCCUCAUAUUUUUAAAUCUUUUAAUCUUCUCAUGUUAUUCAUACAGAGGGAAUUCCCUAUGACCCCUAAACUCAGUACAUAAAAAGAAAGAUAUGUCCUAUUAAUAAAGUUAGAUUGUGUAAAGCAUUUCCUAUUCAAUAUGACUUUUUACUUAAAUAAAUAGGACUUUUUUUUUUUUUUUUUUUUUUCAGAAUGGAAAAAUAAAUGCUUAUUAAUCUUUUCCAGGUGUGUAAGAGCAAAUAGAAAGAAUCUUACUGUAGAUAAAUGUAUCCUCUGAUGCUGGCUAUGGAUGAUCAAUUUUCAAGGUGUGUGGCCUUAUUAAGUUUGGAAAUUUGUAUACAGCUCACACAUACGUGCCUCUGUUUCUAGUAGUGAGGGUAUUUUGAUAUGUACCAAACACCACAGCCUGGAACUGACAUCAUUCUUUGGCAGACACGUGAAUAUUUUGUAUUGUAAUUUCUGGCUUGCAUGUCAGUACACUCCUGCUGUCUAUUAAACAGAACGAUAUACUCGUGCUCAGGGUGUUUUGCCAAUCCUUUCGAUUGGCUAAGAAAAUAAAGGUUUUCUCACCAGCUAAAGAGCUUAGUUUACGUGUAGUUUGCUUAUCUGCAAGACAGAGUUGGCUAGGUCUCUGUAUUUAAGCUGGAAAAACAUCUCCAAAAGUUAUAUGAACUUUCACUUGAACAUCAUAUUUUUACUUCCUCAUUUAAGUGCUUUCAAUGAACACUUCUAGCGAACUGUUUCUAAAGCCACGGUCUACGUGGGGUGAUAAAUAGAGUCAAAAAUACUCUUUAUAGCUAUAACUUUUUCUCUACAGCUAAAUUUGAGGCGGGGGGGGCGGUCCCGGACACAUUCUGUUGUAAAAUAAGGCCAUAAACACAGAAAAAUUUUGACAAUCAUUGCUGUAGUGGGCAAAGAUUUUGCAGCAUUAUUAAAACAUUUUAAUUUUAGUAUUUAGAAAAUAUUCAGAUAAAGUGACUCUUAUUCCUACAAAUUAACAGAAAUCUCAACCUUACCUAAGAGUUUAUUUUUUUAAUAGAAAGACCUGCAGAAGCACUCUGUGAAGGGGAUGAAAAAUACUUGUAUUUUGUGCUAUGAUUGCAAUACAUAUUAACAGACCAGAUUAAUAGAUACAUGGCUCACAAACAUUUUAGCUGGAAAAAAAGUUGAAUAUUUUCAGUAGUCAGAAACUAAUUUUGCUGGAGAAGUAAUUUUCUUUUAUUUGUUCAGAUUCACUAGGUAUUUACAUAGACAUGUAAAUCACUAUGUGAGAAUAUUGUUGAUGGAUGCUUUAAUUCUCAUUUGUCUAGAACUCUCCAAAACCAUCUAAUAAUUUGAUAUUAAUAUUUCUUUUCAGUCAUAUUGGUUUUUGGAUACUGUUGCUACUGGUAAAAUACGUCAGCAUGCAAUUGUUCAUUGGAAUUUUCCCAGUUGUGAGAACUGAAAUGCAACUAGUAGGCAAUAUUGCACGCAAAAAUAAUAUUUUUAGCCAUCUAGUAGUAAUAAAAAUAUUCCCUGCACCCCUAAAAAAGAGUAGUUUGAUAUUGAGUGGAAAUAAAAGUCUUUUGACACUUUAUUCAUAUCUUCAGCAAAAAAGCAAAAAAUGCAAUCAGGAGUCUUCCAAUGUUAGUACCACGGAUAAAGAGCAUAUAUAUAGGGAAGGAACAGAUGAAAGAACACCUAGAUAAAAAUGCUGAGUUGAAGUUGAUUGAGACUUAUAGUCGUCCUCUUGAGAAUUUACAGGCAUGGUAGCUGACAUAUCCAAUCCUGUUUUCUGGAGAAGAGUGGAGGUGUGGAGAAACAGGAAGAAGACAUGCCUAACAGUUGAUGGUGACUGUUCAUAUUAAAAGUGCAAGGGAGACCAAAGAGGAUGAGCUGUUAAAUAACUGGAUGACAUAAACAGAGCUCAAAAUGACCCUUAAAAAUUCAGUCAACAUCCUGGAGAAGAAAAAGCCAUUAUUCUUUAGAAACAAAUACAAUGUUCCAAGCAAAGGAAUAAUCACUAAGUUGCCUGAUGUUUUUGUGGCCAAGCAGUAUUCCUAAAGAAAGAAUCUAGAAGUUGUAGUGAAUCAUUACCUUAUUCUCAAAAAGGAUGUAAUGUUUUUGCAAAGAGGUAAAAUGGAUUGAGGUGUGAACAAAAACACAGACAAAAGGUGUGUGUGGCCUACAAUAGAGUCCUGAAGGGUGGGACACCGGAAGCUGUUGUGCAAACCAUUCCCUUUCCCUGAUGCAGAAACAGCUUUAUCUAAGCAAUUCCUGACAUGAUUGGAAGUCUUUAAAUGCAAAUUAAACUAAUGAAGGUGGCUCCAAAACUGCUGCCCCAGGUAAUUGAAACCUGUUACUUUUGCUCCAGCAUCCUAUGACACAAAAAACAGAUUGCCAUAUUGCUCUUCACAGUGCUCUUUGAAAACUGGUUCUUCUCAGUCUCUACCUCUCCAGACAAAAUAAUGCCAAUUUAUUCCAUUUUAUCUUGCAGGCUGUAUCUUGUGACUCUUCUCAUAUAUCUUCUAAUUCCUGUUGGUCCCUAAGUCUCUUGUAAUACCCGUCACCCCCAAAAUGAUUGCAGUUUUCCAACCUAAACCUUUCAGUGCUAAGCAGAGAGGAAGUCUGAGGAAGGAAACAGAUCAUAUCUGAUUCUGUGCUGAAAUCUGAGUGAGAAGGAAUCAGGAGCUUCUGAAGUAUUUCUAUUAGUUUUGGGAGAUUACCCAUAUAACUCAACGUGAUACAAUAGAAAUCACUUCAAAAAGCUAAAGGUGGUGAUAUUUUUUUUUCUUUCCACAAACCAUUCAUUCUUUCAAAACAUAAGUCCCAGAGGCAGAUUCCAAGGUUUCUCAGAAGACUGAUAACUGUGCUUCAGUGCAUCCCACAUCCACUGACUUUAUUCUGUUUUCUUCAAAGUUCACUUCAAAAUGCAGGCUAGAAAAAUUCCUCCAGCUGUUAUGUAGAGGGAGCUCUUGCCUCUGAAUGGAAGCUGUGUAUUUCAUCACAGAAAAUUAUAUAUACUUCUUUGAAAAGAGAAUUAUGCUUUGUUUUAGAUGUUUAAAUGGAAUUGUGAUUUGAAGGAAUAAUGUAAACUAUUAGGUAUGAUCAUAUCUGAUAUGUUUCAUGUAUAUACGUAUAUAUGCAUAUAUGCAUGAAUGCGUGUGUGUGUAUAUACAUAUAUAUAUCUAUAUAUAAGAUAGAGAGACACCGGCCUUUCUGAAGUCUGAAACUAUUGCAUAUCCAGCCCCUCAACAGAUAUUUGUCAGCUCAGUGGGUCUUUUUCUUUUCUUUAAACCAUCAGCUAGCUAUGAAUAAAAAGUCACUUAAACACCUUUGGAACACGUUGUAAAAUAUGAGAUAAUUGUCGUUAUCAUUCAGAAUCUAUCUAGGAACAUAUUACAUAUAUAACUUACUUCCAAUGUAUUGCCAUCUAUGAGCAAUCCACAUGCACAUAUGCAUUAUUAUUUUCCUUUAUUCAAAUUCUGUUACUUCUGUGUGACAUUGUGUCUUGUGGUGAGAUCUUACACAGGAAUCAAUACACAACAGUCUGAUAAUCAUCCAGUUUUACUAGAAAUAUGAGGAUGUUGGGGCUCAGGGAGACAGGACAUGUUAGUUCCUUGCUAGAGCUAGAGAAAAUCUGUGAAGGGGGGAAAAACGCCAGUAACAAGAAUUUACUUGCUGACAAUUCUCGGCUCAUACCUGGAAUAAUCAGGUGAAACUUCCUUGACCACACUGUGAUCCAGCUGCUUCAGUGAGGGCAGGCUGUAUGAAGCAGAGGUGUGAUGCUUGGUUGUAGUUGUGCUCUCAGGCAGCUUGCUAUCCAUUUUACAACUCUCAGCCCCCAGGUUUUCCUGAGUUGAAAUUAGUACUGUAUAUUCAAGAAUAUUUUCCAUUAA